rnacentral:rRNA from 1 species
GGNNGCUACACAUGCAGCCGAGCGGUAUAGAUUCUUCGGAAUCUAGAGAGCGGCGUACGGGUGCGGAACACGUGUGCAACUUACCUUUAUCAGGGGGAUAGCCUUUCGAAAGGAAGAUUAAUACCCCAUAAUAUAUUAGAUGGCAUCAUUUGAUAUUGAAAACUCCGGUGGAUAGAGAUGGGCACGCGCAAGAUUAGAUAGUUGGUGAGGUAACGGCUCACCAAGUCAGUGAUCUUUAGGGGGCCUGAGAGGGUGAUCCCCCACACUGGUACUGAGACACGGACCAGACUCCUACGGGAGGCAGCAGUGAGGAAUAUUGGACAAUGGGUGAGAGCCUGAUCCAGCCAUCCCGCGUGAAGGAUGACGGCCCUAUGGGUUGUAAACUUCUUUUGUAUAGGGAUAAACCUUUCCACGUGUGGAAAGCUGAAGGUACUAUACGAAUAAGCACCGGCUAACUCCGUGACAGCAGCCGCGGUAAUACGGAGGGUGCAAGCGUUAUCCGGAUUUAUUGGGUUUAAAGGGUCCGUAGGCGGACUCGUAAGUCAGUGGUGAAAUCUCAUAGCUUAACUAUGAAACUGCCAUUGAUACUGCGGGCCUUGAGUAAGGUAGAGGUAGCUGGAAUAAGUAAAGUAGCGUCAAAUGCAUAGAUAUUACUUUAGAACACCAAUU